rnacentral:rRNA from 1 species
AUUGAACGCUGGCGGCAGGCCUAACACAUGCAAGUCGAACGAGUGGCGGACGGGUGAGUAAUGUAUGGGAAACUGCCUGAUGGAGGGGGAUAACUACUGGAAACGGUAGCUAAUACCGCAUACCAUCGGAUGUACCCAGAUGGGAUUAGCUGGUAGGUGGGGUAACGGCUCACCUAGGCGACGAUCCCUAGCUGGUCUGAGAGGAUGACCAGCCACACUGGAACUGAGACACGGCCCAGACUCCUACGGGAGGCAGCAGGGGGGAAUAUUGCACAAUGGGCGCAAGCCUGAUGCAGCCAGGCCGCGUGUAUGAAGAAGGCCUUCGGGUUGUAAAGUACUUUCAGCGGGGAGGCGUUACCGGCAGAAGAAGCACCGGCUAACUCCGUGCCAGCAGCCGCGGUAAUAC